rnacentral:rRNA from 1 species
UACGAGUGCCCCGAGCGUUAUCCGGAAUCAUUGGGCGUAAAGGGUGUGUAGGUGGUCUUGUUAGUCUUCUGUCAAAUUCUUCGGCUUAACCGGGGGUCCGCAGGGGAAACGGCAAGACUCGAGGAUGCGAGGGGUGAAUGGAACUCAUAGUGGAGGGGUGAAAUCCGUUGAUAUUGGGAAGAACACCAGUGGCGAAGGCGGCUAACUGGUCCAGUACUGACGCUGAGGUGCGAAAGCGUGGGGAGCAAACAGG